GUCUCACUUUAUCUCUGCACUGACAGUUGUGUUCGUAAACUCCAAAUCCCUGUCUUCGCUUAAGAUAGAUGAUACUCCAGUAGAUGAUCCAUCUCUCAAAGUACUAGUGGCCAACAAUAGUGAUACACUCAAGCUGUUGAAAAUGAGCAGCUGUCCUCAUGUCUCUCCAGCAGCUAUCUCUGACCGCCGGAGGCUGUGUCUUCUCUGUCAAAGGCUGGAAUCGACCUCCCAGGUGUGCGGGCUCUGUCCCCGACUUAGGACCGGCGUCCUACCUCCAGGCUGAAGACUGGACAAAAGCGGUGACAAUCUUCCCGGUCUAACCAGGACUGCAGCAGACGGGGAUUCCAGGGAUGCGGGACUUUUGAGGGCAAAACUGGGAAGUCCCAAUAAGGACUUCGGAUCAGGUUCUGAUCAGGUUCAAAGCAGAGCGAGUUGGUCGCCCAGUAAAUUGUACCAAAUGUUCCGCAGUAAUAGCUAACGACAGUGCAUGAUAUAAAUAAAUGCGAUAGACAGUGUUUUUAAACUAC
rnacentral:sRNA from 1 species